rnacentral:lncRNA from 1 species
AUGGAAGGGAGGCGAAUUGUCUGCAAGAUGUGCAGGACAGGAUUAUUUGCAUUUCAAUGUGUUUUGUGUAACAUUACCAUUUUAGUAGCUAGCGUUUCUGCAAAGGACAGCUCACAAGUUUACGGUUUGAAUGAGCCACUGCUGCCAUAUCCAGCAGGAGGACUGCCAGGGAGGCUACAAGGCCAGUGGAUGAGUGAGGCAUGAAAAGAACAGCCCGAGGAAGAUAAGGUGUACCAGUACUUCCUCUGCGCAAGAAGGGCUUUCUGCACAUCGUCACAGUCAUAGAAAGUAGAGGCAUCCCCUCCCAGUUUCCAGUUAAAAAAAGCAAAAUGGAAGAUCUGGAGAAAAAGACAAAAAUCAUAAAAUAUUCUGCUUGGUUUCUCCCCAUCAGUGUUUUCAAAUUAGAAUACAUAGGAUGGAAAUUUUCAUUAGUCGCAGUGUCUGGAGAAAUUGUUUGUAAUAAAUCCUCCAAACUGGAAAAACA